rnacentral:rRNA from 1 species
GAAGGUCCCGAGCGUUAUUCGGAAUCACUGGGCGUAAAGGGAGCGUAGGCUGUACGGUAAGUCAGAUGUGAAAUCUCAGAGCUCAACUCUGAAACUGCAUCCGAUACUGCCGUACUAGAGUAAUGGAGGGGUAACUGGAAUUCUCGGUGUAGCAGUGAAAUGCGUAGAUAUCGAGAGGAAGACCAACGGCGAAGGCAGGUUACUGGACAUUUACUGACGCUGAGGCUCGAAGGCUAGGGGGUAGCGAAAGGGAUUAGAUACCCCUGUAGUCCUAGCAGUAAACGAUGUGCGCUUGGUGUGGGAAGGUUCGACCCUUUCCGUGCCGGAGCUAACGCGUUAAGCGCACCGCCUGGGAGUACGGUCGCAAGACUA